rnacentral:rRNA from 1 species
AUUGAACGCUGGCGGCAGGCCUAACACAUGCAAGUCGAGCGGAUGAAGGGAGCUUGCUCUUGGAUUCAGCGGCGGACGGGUGAGUAAUGCCUAGGAAUCUGCCUGGUAGUGGGGGAUAACGUCCGGAAACGGGCGCUAAUCCCGCAUACGUCCUGAGGUAGAAAGUGGGGGUUCUUCGGACCUCGCUCUAUCUGAUGAUCCUAGGUCGGAUUAGCUAGUUGGUGGGGUAAAGGCCUACCAAGGCGACGAUCCGUAACUGGUCUGAGAGGAUGAUCAGUCACACUGGAACUGAGACACGGUCCAGACUCCUACGGGAGGCAGCAGUGGGGAAUAUUGGACAAUGGGCGAAAGCCUGAUCCAGCCAUGCCGCGUGUGUGAAGAAGGUCUUCGGAUUGUAAAGCACUUUAAGUUGGGAGGAAGGGCAGUAAGUUAAUACCUUGCUGUUUUGACGUUACCAACAGAAUAAGCACCGGCUAACUUCGUG